rfam:Oryza sativa Japonica Group DNA, chromosome 6, cultivar: Nipponbare, complete sequence.
CAACGUUUGACUGUCCGUCUUAUAUAAAAAUUUUUUAUAAUUAAUAUUUUCAUUCUUGUUAGAUGAUAAAACAUGAUUAAUACUUUAUGCGUGACUUGUCUUUUUAAUUUUAUUUCAUAAUUUUUUCAAAUAAGACGGAAGUUCAAACGUUG